rnacentral:rRNA from 1 species
GACGAACGCUGGCGGCGUGCUUAACACAUGCAAGUCGAGCGGAGCGGCGAACGGGUGCGUAACGCGUGAGUAACUGCCCCCCUCUCUGGGAUAACAGUUGGAAACGGCUGCUAAUACCGGAUAGUGGGGGAUGAAUCGCUUCCUAUCAGCUUGUUGGUGGGGUAGUGGCCUACCAAGGCGACGACGGGUACCCGGCCUGAGAGGGGGACCGGCCACAUUGGGCUGAGAUACGGCCCAAACUCCAACGGGAGGCAGCGGUGGGGAAUAUUGCACACUAGGGGAAACCCUGUUGCAGACACGCCGCGUGCGGUAUGACGGCGUUCGGGUUGUAAACCGCUUUCAGCCAUGACGCGGUAGUGGCAGAAGAAGCACCGGCUAACUACGUGCCAGCAGCCGCGGUAAUAC